rnacentral:lncRNA from 1 species
UUUUUAGUACGCCCCUGGAGGAGAGCUUUUCGACUAUAUAGUCGCAAAGGACCGUUUGGAGGUUUGUUAUAUGUUGCAUAUUCUGGUCACUUAAUUCCUUGUUUGUUUGGGAUCUUGCCCACGUUGUUUCGUAAAAUAUCUCUUCGUCAAUCUAGGAAAAGGAAGCGAGGCAUUUCCUUCGUCAGAUUGUGGCAGCUGUGGGCUACAUGCAUGAAAAGGGCUACGCACAUCGGGAUUUAAAACCUGUAAGUGAAGCUAAAUAAACUCAGGGUAUCUUGGUUUAUAAAUUUUUAAUUGAUUUUUUUUUCGG